UUGAACGCUGGCGGCAUGCCUUACACAUGCAAGUCGAACGGAUUUGAGGGGCUUGCUCCUUAAGUUAGUGGCGAACGGGUGAGUAAUGCAUCGGAACGUACCAUUGAGUGGGGGAUAACGUAGCGAAAGUUACGCUAAUACCGCAUAUUCUCUCCGGAGGAAAGCAGGGGAUCGCAAGACCUUGUGCUCAUUGAGCGGCCGAUGUCGGAUUAGCUAGUUGGCGGGGUAAGAGCCCACCAAGGCGACGAUCCGUAGCGGGUCUGAGAGGAUGAUCCGCCACACUGGGACUGAGACACGGCCCAGACUCCUACGGGAGGCAGCAGUGGGGAAUUUUGGACAAUGGGCGCAAGCCUGAUCCAGCCAUGCCGCGUGAGUGAAGAAGGCCUUCGGGUUGUAAAGCUCUUUCGCGAGGGAAGAAAACGCAACGGCUAAUACCUGUUGUGGAUGACGGUACCUUGAUAAGAAGCACCGGCUAACUACGU
rnacentral:rRNA from 1 species